GACGAACGCUGGCGGCGUGCUUAACACAUGCAAGUCGAACGGAAAGGCCCUGCUCUUGUGGGGUGCUCGAGUGGCGAACGGGUGAGUAACACGCGAGUAACCUGCCCUUGACUUUGGGAUAACUUCAGGAAACUGGGGCUAAUACCGGAUAUGAGCUCCUGCUGCAUGGUGGGGGAUGGAAAGUGUCGGCGGUUGGGGAUGGACUCGCGGCUUAUCAGCCUGUUGGUGGGGUAGUGGAAUACCAAGGCUUUGACGGGUAGCCUGCCUGAGAGGGUGACCGGCCACAUUGGGACUAAGAUACGGCCCAGUCUCGUACGGGAGGCAACGGUGGAGAAUAUUGCACAAUGGGCGGAAGACUGAUGCAGCAGCGCCGCGUGCGGAAUGCCGGCCUUCGAGUUGUAAACAGCUUUCUCCUUUGACGAAGAGUUCGUGACGGUAAUGAGUAAAGAAGCACCGGCUAACUACGUG
rnacentral:rRNA from 1 species